AAAGGAAUAGACGGGGGCCCGCACAAGCGGUGGAGCAUGUGGUUUAAUUCGACGCAACGCGAAGAACCUUACCAAGGCUUGACAUCCCGUUGACCGGCGCAGAAAUGUGCCUUCCCCUUCGGGGGCAAUGGAGACAGGUGGUGCAUGGUUGUCGUCAGCUCGUGUCGUGAGAUGUUGGGUUAAGUCCCGCAACGAGCGCAACCCUUAUGUUUAGUAGCCAGCGGGUAAAGCCGGGCACACUAGAGAGACUGCCGUGGAGAACACGGAGGAAGGUGGGGACGACGUCAAAUCAUCAUGCCCCUUAUGUCUUGGGCUACACACGUGCUACAAUGGCUGAAACAAAGUGAAGCAAGGCAGCAAUGCGGAGCGAAUCACGAAAAACAGCCUCAGUUCGGAUUGCAGCCUGCAACUCGGCUGCAUGAAGUUGGAAUCGCUAGUAAUCGCGGAUCAGCAUGCCGCGGUGAAUACGUUCCCGGGCCUUGUACACACCGCCCGU
rnacentral:rRNA from 1 species